rnacentral:rRNA from 1 species
CCUACGUGAGGCAGCAGUGAGGAAUAUUGGUCAAUGGACGAGAGUCUGAACCAGCCAAGUAGCGUGAAGGAUGACUGACCUAUGGGUUGUACACUUCUUUUAUAAAGGAAUAAAACGAGGCACGUGUGCCUUUUUGCAUGUACUUUAUGAAUAAUGAUCGGCUAACUCCUUGCCAGCAGCCGCGGUAAUACGGAGGUACAGAGCGUUAUCUGGAUUUAUUGGGUUUAAAGGGAGCGUAGAUGGGUACGUAAGUCAGUUGUGAAAGGUGGCGGCUCAACCGUAAAAUUGCAAUUGAUACUGGCAGGCUGGAGUACAGUAGAGGUAGGCGGAAUUCGUGGUGUAGCGGUGAAAUGCUUAGAUAUCACGAAGAACCCCGAUUGCGAAGGCAGCUUACUAAACUGUGACUGACAUUGAGGCUCGAAAGUGUGGGUAUCAAACAGGAUUAGAUACCCGUGUAGUC